rnacentral:lncRNA from 12 species
AACCCCAAAUAACCACCCAAAUCCCAAAUAAACCCUUAUAAACUCACUGUAACUGCCCCAAAAUCCCAAAUAAACCCCAAAUAAACCCCCCAAACCCCCCCAGAUCGGCCCCUCACUUCAUGUUCUCCACGUCGCGGCCGCGCAGGGCGCAGAGGGGGAUGGCCAGCAGCGCCAGCAGCAGGAUCCAGCCCCCAAAAUCACCCCAAAAAUCCCAAAUAAACCCCAAAUAAACCCCCCCAAACCCCCCCAGAUCGGCCCCUCACUUCAUGUUCUCCACGUCGCGGCCGCGCAGGGCGCAGAGGGGGAUGGCCAGCAGCGCCAGCAGCAGGAUCCAGCCCCCAAAAUCACCCCAAAAAUCCCAA